CUUCUCUCCUCUCCAGCGGUGCGCUUCUCUUAUGCUCUCCUUGGCCAAUUGAAUUCCUCUCCAAGAGUCUUCAAAAUCGUGGGAGCGCUGAUGGUUGGCUAGCAUUCAGGAGCGGCAGCACACUGCGACUUAUUUGAUCGCCUUGAGUUGGUGUCUGCCAAUUUCGGCACGAUACAAUUUCUUUGCACUUCAGCCCCACGUUUUUUUUUUUUUUUCUUUUACAUGACUUUUUCACUCAUCUCUGUGUGCUCACUUCAGUUCUUCUUCGAAUCUGUUUUUGAUAGAACCAGCCAUUUCGGAGUUGAAAGCCGCGAGAAUCUGGGCUAAAUCUCCACUCUCCUCUUCUCCAAAGAAAUCGAAGCAGGGGAAGGCCUUCUCGUGGGUAGACGUCGUAGGAAGAGUCUUUCAGAUUCAUCAUUUGUAAAGACGCUUGCAUGGAGACAACGAAGAAGUUUGUUUUUACUGUCAUUGCAGCACAAGGGCGACCAGACAAUGCUUUCUCUUCGAAGUCGCUGAAAGGGCUGUGGCCAGACAUGCCCCAUCUGAAAUUCACUUCCGUAGGAGAAGGUGACUCAGAUUUCUGAGUCGGGCCGGUCAAGUUUUGCAGGAAGUGCGGUUCCACCAGCCAACGAAGAGAAAGCCACGGUCGACAGGUAAUGGUGGCGGUGUCGAUACGCUCAAGGACAACAGGUUUCAAGCUUCAGCGAGUAUAGAGGAAAUCGACCCCAAUGCAAUCAGAGAUGAAUGGCUUUCGGUCCUCCCGCUGCCUUCCCCAACACCCAAGGAGGCGGCUGAGCUUCCCCAUCGCCUUCCGCCACCCAAAGCAUCAGUACCGAGCUGAAACCCUCUAUGCUCUAAACGCAGAGUCUCUCGUCUCCCUUUUUCUCCCUCCUUCGCUUAUUUAAAAGGAGGAGGAACCUUCUUUUCCAUUUCUCUUAGUUUGAGGACUCGGUUCUUAUUUUGGCUCUGGUUAUUUUGUUUUCUGUACCUCAACUAAGAAGUUCAUGUUCAAUCAUCCAUUAACGUUAACGGUAUCUACCAAUAUGAGAGAUGGAACAGAAUCCUAUAACAUCAAGAGAUUUUGAACUCCCUGUUGAUUAUACUAGUUGGAAUUUUGAGGAAGAUGGAGGUUGGCCUGUCGACUCUGUCUGAUGGCAUUGAAGCAGGGUGAGAGAGCCAACUGUUUGGGGGAUUAACUUCGCUUAUUUAAAAUAGAGGGAGGAACCUUCUUUGCCAUUUCACCCCUAUCGUUUUUGCUUGAACUUCAACUUUUGGUAUCCACUAGCCAACCAUCUUCCUUGCUUGAACCUUUUGCUUCCCAAGAGCUUCAUUUCUUGGGGAGAUUUUGUAUCCUUUUUCAUGAUUAUAAGAGCAUCCGUCCGGAAACCAGGAGAAGCCAAUGGAGGCUCUGGAGUUUGGCCGGCACCAAGUCAAACAAGAACAUUCGUGCCAAGUUGGCCAUAAACGUAGAACAUCCAAGGA